rnacentral:misc_RNA from 1 species
GAAACGCGAUAGUUAAUGUGAAUUGCAGAAUUCAGUGAAUCAUCGAAUCUUUGAACGCACAUUGCGCCCGGCAGUACUCUGCCGGGCAUGCCUGUUCGAGCGUCAUUUCAACCCUCAAGCCCUGCUUGGUGUUGGGGUCCUACGGCUGCCGUAGGCCCCGAAAGGAAGUGGCGGGCUCGCUGCAACUCCGAGCGCAGUAACUCAUUAUCUCGCUAGGGACGUUCGGCGCGCUCCUGCCGUUAAAGACCCCAUCUUUAACCAAGGUUGACCUCGGAUCAGGUAGGAAUACCCGCUGAACUUAA